AUUGAACGCUGGCGGCAUGCCUAACACAUGCAAGUCGAGCGGAGUGGCGGACGGGUGAGUAAUAUAUCGGGAUCUGCCCGGUAGCGGGGGAUAACUACUCGAAACGGUUGCUAAUACCGCAUACUAUCGGAGCAACCGAUAUGGGAUUAGCUAGUUGGUGGGGUAAAGGCUAACCAAGGCCACGAUCCCUAGCUGGUUUGAGAGGAUGACCAGCCACACUGGGACUGAGACACGGCCCAGACUCCUACGGGAGGCAGCAGUGGGGAAUCUUGGGCAAUGGACGAAAGUCUGACCUAGCAACCCCGCGUGUAUGAUGAAGGUUUUCGGGUCGUAAAACACUGUUGUUAGAGAAGCGGUAUCUGCACAAUAAGCCACGGCUAACUACGUGCCAGCAGCCGCGGUAAUUC
rnacentral:rRNA from 1 species